rnacentral:rRNA from 1 species
GAUGAACGCUGGCGGCGUGCCUAAUACAUGCAAGUCGAGCGAAUGGAUUAAGAGCUUGCUCUUAUGAAGUUAGCGGCGGACGGGUGAGUAACACGUGGGUAACCUGCCCAUAAGACUGGGAUAACUCCGGGAAACCGGGGCUAAUACCGGAUAACAUUUUGAACCGCAUGGUUCGAAAUUGAAAGGCGGGUUCGGCUGUCACUUAUGGAUGGACCCGCGUCGCAUUAGCUAGUUGGUGAGGUAACGGCUCACCAAGGCAACGAUGCGUAGCCGACCUGAGAGGGUGAUCGGCCACACUGGGACAGAGACACGGCCCAGACUCCUACGGGAGGCAGCAGUAGGGAAUCUUCCGCAAUGGACGAAAGUCUGACGGAGCAACGCCGCGUGAGUGAUGAAGGCUUUCGGGUCGUAAAACUCUGUCGUUAGGGAAGAACAAGUGCUAGUUGAAUAAGCUGGCACCUUGACGGUACCUAACCAGAAAGCCACGGCUAACUACGUGCCAGCCGCCGCGGUAA